rnacentral:rRNA from 1 species
CAGCAGCCGCGGGAAUACGAAGGGUGCAAGCGUUACUCGGAAUUACUGGGCGUAAAGCGUGCGUAGGUGGUUCGUUAAGUCUGAUGUGAAAGCCCUGGGCUCAACCUGGGAAUUGCAUUGGAUACUGGCGAGCUAGAGUGCGGUAGAGGGUAGUGGAAUUCCCGGUGUAGCAGUGAGAUGCGUAGAGAUCGGGAGGAACAUCUGUGGCGAAGGCGACUGCCUGGACCAGCACUGACACUGAGGCACGAAAGCGUGGGGAGCAAACAGGAUUAGAUACCCCUGUAGUCCCUGUCUCUUAUAA